rnacentral:lncRNA from 1 species
ACGGACCGAACACGAUCUGCGCUCCCUCCAAUCCUUCCACGCGUAACAACCUUGCCGAUCCGUGGGGGAUUCAAUCCCCAGAAACUCGGAUUUGUUGGCCACGACUAGUCUUUAGUGCAUAUACGUACCGCCCCACACUCCCUCUGUAACCCCUAGUGCUCCGCUGCCGCCUCCUGUAAUUCAUUGGGGCCAACAGGAUAGAUCGCCGCCGCCAGGAACAAAGGAAGUUAGCGCCUGCUGUGAGCUCGCGAUUGGGAUGAGAGAGAUGAGUUGCCGCGGGGAGCUAGGGAGCUCGGCCAGUGUUCGCGCUGGGCAUCUAAGGGGUCCUCGCGUGUCCGUCGACGCGAGGGCUGGGUUUCCUCGCCGCUGGGUGGCAGAGAUGUCCGCCCGCCGUCGUGGACCUGCGUGUCUGAUGACAUUGAAGCAUCGGCAACCAUCCUGGGAUGUUCCCUGGGACACAAGGACGGGGUACGCUGUAGCCAGACCAACUUUGGGGCCGGUGCCUAACCAAUUUCUCGUCGGCGUGGGAACAUCACCGCGGAUCUGCAGAGCACGUGGACCGAUGUCUCCUCACCAUCAUUCUCGGUAAGACUUGUUGCCACUGAUUCGCCGUGUUCAUAGCUUCGUGUAGCUCCAUUUAAUUUGAUGGUGGUGCUCGGGGGAGACCGAUUGGGUCACGGUCGAUCUCCUCCACCGCGCGGUCAUGGCGGAGGCGCCCCUGCUUGGUUGGCGGGGGAAGAUGAACGGCGACCGUUGAUCUGGCCUAGGUGGCCACGAUUAAAUGGUUCGUGUACCGAUUCGCUGGGUGAACCUGGGCCGUUGAUCAAAGAAUGGGCGGGCAAGAUUUAAUGUUAGGGAAUUAAGAUCUGGCCGUCGAUCUGGAAUCAAACGACCAGCGUGGUGUACCGGUUCAUUGGACGGAUGGGUUUAAUCGGGACCGUUGGAUUUAAUCCGAUGGCUGGAAAUACGUGAUACCCCUUCGCGUGGUAUAUUAGCUAAAGAGACCCUUACUUUUUCAGUAACUAACCCGCGGUCCAGUCCUGAGUUAACCUGAGUCUGGGGUAUCUUACACCGAGGCCCCUGACUUUUUCUGUAAUAGUGCGCCCAGUCCAGGAAUCAAUAAAAUCAGAGAAAUUCUUUCUAAAUUCAUUUUUAAUACAAAAAAAUAAUGGUAGAAACUUGUAUAAAUCAUAGAAGAUGCAUACUAAAUCCUUUUUAACCCAUUCCAGUUCCUAUAAUUUUGUUUUAAUAUUAUCUAUCAACUAGUAACACUAUUUAGCCUUGAAACUUGAAUUAAAAUUGUUCAUUUGAAUUAAUCUAAUCUAAGUACCUAAUAACUUCGGAAAUUCAUAAUUUCUUCGUUUUAACUCCGAUUUGAUCCGUUCAAGUUGCGUUAGUCUCGUAGCAACGCGUAGAUCAUUAUUAUGCAGUAUAUUCUUAUGUAUGGUGUGAUGUUAAUUUUAUCUAUACCAUGUUUGUUUGUAUUGCUACGACUAGCGCGAGGACACGUAUCAUCUGAAAAGCAAGUUGGUACCUGGAAUCUCAAGUGCCAGGCAAGUUGUGCCCUUGAUCACUUACUUUCCCAGCCAUGUUCUUAUUAAUUUU